CUUAAGGACUGGACUGUUUUUGCGAUGUUGUACAUUUGCGACCAGGCAUAUUUUUACACUUUUGUGGUGUUUGUGUUUUGGCUGGAAUUUUCCGCUCUCUCAUUUACUGUUCCCAUACAAAUUAUAUAUUGUUUUUUUCAGGACAAAAGGGGCUUUCUUUACAUACCAUUAUUUAUAUAAUCUCAUGUAUUUUAAUUUAAAAAAAA